rnacentral:rRNA from 1 species
UACACUCCUGCGGGAGGCAGCAGAGGGGAAUAUUGGCCAAUGGGCGCAAGCCUGAUCCAGCCAUGCCGCGUGAGUGAUGAAGGCCCUAGGGUUGUAAAGCUCUUUCACCGGUGAAGAUAAUGACGGUAACCGGAGAAGAAGCCCCGGCUAACUUCGUGCCAGCAGCCGCGGUAAUACGAAGGGGGCUAGCGUUGUUCGGAUUUACUGGGCGUAAAGCGCACGUAGGCGGACUAUUAAGUCAGGGGUGAAAUCCCGGGGCUCAACCCCGGAACUGCCUUUGAUACUGGUAGUCUUGAGUUCGAGAGAGGUGAGUGGAAUUCCGAGUGUAGAGGUGAAAUUCGUAGAUAUUCGGAGGAACACCAGUGGCGAAGGCGGCUCACUGGCUCGAUACUGACGCUGAGGUGCGAAAGCGUGGGGAGCAAACAGGAUUAGAAACCUGUAGUCCC